GACUAAUACAUGCAAGUCGAGCGAACUGAUUAGAAGCUUGCUUCUAUGACGUUAGCGGCGGACGGGUGAGUAACACGUGGGCAACCUGCCUGUAAGACUGGGAUAACUUCGGGAAACCGAAGCUAAUACCGGAUAGGAUCUUCUCCUUCAUGGGAGAUGAUUGAAAGAUGGUUUCGGCUAUCACUUACAGAUGGGCCCGCGGUGCAUUAGCUAGUUGGUGAGGUAACGGCUCACCAAGGCAACGAUGCAUAGCCGACCUGAGAGGGUGAUCGGCCACACUGGGACUGAGACACGGCCCAGACUCCUACGGGAGGCAGCAGUAGGGAAUCUUCCGCAACGGACGAAACUCUGACGGAGUAACGCCGCGUGAGUGAUGAAGGCUUUCGGGUCGUAAAACUCUGUUGUUAGGGAAGAACAAGUACAAGAGUAACUGCUAGUACCUUGACGGUACCUAACCAGAAAGCCACGGCUAACUACGUGCCAGCAGCCGCGGUAAUACGUAGGUGGAAAGCGUUAUCCGGAAUUAUUGGGCGUAAAGCGCGCGCAGGCGGUUUCUUAAGUCUGAUGUGAAAGCCCACGGCUCAACCGGGAGGGUCAUUGGAAACGGGGGAACUUGAGUGCAGAAGAGAAAAGCGGAAUUCCACGUGUAGCGGUGAAAUGCGUAGAGAUGUGGAGGAACACCAGUGGCGAAGGCGUCUUUUUGGUCUGUAACUGACGCUGAGGCGCGAAAGCGUGGGGAGCAAACAGGAUUAGAUACCCUGGUAGUCCACGCCGUAAACGAUGAGUGCUAAGUGUUAGAGGGUUUCCGCCCUUUAGUGCUGCAGCUAACGCAUUAAGCACUCCGCC
rnacentral:rRNA from 2 species